UCUUUAUAGUCAGCCUUCUGCUUGCCACAGUCAUAGUGGGCAGUCAGUGAAUCUUCCCCAAGUGCUGACAAUUAAUACCUGGUUUAGCGGCAAAGAUUCAGAGAGGCGUGAGCAGCCCCUCUGGCCUUCAGGUAAAGAUCCAUCAGCUCCCUCAGAGCCUCGUGCCUCUCCUCGGAAGGAAUUAACUCACAAACUGCAUCCACAGUCUCUUUGGUCAUGAGCUUCCUGGCAAAGUUGCCAUUCAUCCUCAUGAUUGGUUUGAGGUUCAUCUUCUUCCGGAGAUGCUUGUCCAGUGUGGCCUGCCACCUUUUCCUUUCCUCUUUGGAAGCAUUGGGAUUCUUAUACACUUCCCCUAUCUCUAGCUGGAAGAUCUUGUAGAACUCAGCUGCAUUGCCAAUGUCACAGUGGAGUGCAUCUAUGGAAGGGACUGUCUCAAUGAAAGGUUUAGCUGAGACCCCUUUCACCCGAUCCCGCAGUUCUUCCACAGACUCAUGGUAAGGGUUGGAACGCCAGACCUCAUAACGUUCCA
rnacentral:sRNA from 1 species